rnacentral:rRNA from 1 species
CUGCCUAUUAGUGGGGGACAACAUUUCGAAAGGAAUGCUAAUACCGCAUACGUCCUACGGGAGAAAGCAGGGGAUCUUCGGACCUUGCGCUAAUAGAUGAGCCUAAGUCGGAUUAGCUAGUUGGUGGGGUAAAGGCCUACCAAGGCGACGAUCUGUAGCGGGUCUGAGAGGAUGAUCCGCCACACUGGGACUGAGACACGGCCCAGACUCCUACGGGAGGCAGCAGUGGGGAAUAUUGGACAAUGGGCGCAAGCCUGAUCCAGCCAUGCCGCGUGUGUGAAGAAGGCCUUAUGGUUGUAAAGCACUUUAAGCGAGGAGGAGGCUACUUUAGUUAAUACCUAGAGAUAGUGGACGUUACUCGCAGAAUAAGCACCGGCUAACUCUGUGCCAGCAGCCGCGGUAAUACAGAGGGUGCAAGCGUUAAUCGGAUUUACUGGGCGUAAAGCGCGCGUAGGCGGCUAAUUAAGUCAAAUGUGAAAUCCCCGAGCUUAACUUGGGAAUUGCAUUCGAUACUGGUUAGCUAGAGUGUGGGNAGAGGAUGGUAGAAUUCCAGGUGUAGCGGUGAAAUGCGUAGAGAUCUGGNAGGAAUACCGAUGGCGAAGGCAGCCAUCUGGNCCUAACACUGACGCUGAG